rnacentral:tRNA from 1 species
GGAGAGAUGGCUGAGUGGUUGAUAGCGCCGGUCUUGAAAACCGGUAUAGUUCUAGGAACUAUCGAGGGUUCGAAUCCCUCUCUUCCU